UCUCUCUCUCUCUCUCUCUCUCUCUCUCUCUCUUGAUUAUGGAAUGUAUAUCUAUAACUAAAUGAAGGGUUCUCAACUUUGGGGUAGACGUAUCUCCUGUGGUAGACUACUGGAGAGGAAUUCUGUGGAUACGUGACAGGUAAUACAAUAGUCACUCUUGCUAGUUUUCUAUAGAUCGCGUCGUUUCUCACGCGUACGAAACAGGUACCGUCAUCACAAGCACGACUGUUAACACGCAGAUAUCAAAAGAUUUCCUUCUCUCGUGUGUCAUACUUUGAAGGUUUCGAGCAUGGAGAAUUGUUAAAUCAAGAGCAGGUACCGUCAUCACAAAUAAGACAUCAGAAAAUUUCCUUCUCUCGUGUGCCAUGCCUUGAAAGACCCUGGAAGACCUACAGAACGCCAUCCGAACUGAAAUAGCCAAUAUACCGCUCAAC
rnacentral:lncRNA from 1 species